ACGGGCCUCAACAAGACUGAACGUGGCCCAGAAUUGUCUGUCAGACCUUUUGUAGUGACUGUGAAGAUGAGAGGGGCAAAGGAAAAACUGGAUCCAUCAGUUCUCAUACCAUGAAACGAAAGUAAAAGAAUCUUCUCGUCUUAAGAAAUGCCCUCAACUUCUGCUCUCAACUGAAUCAGGUAAUCAGCAAGGAAACAUCUGGGUCCUCUAAGAUCUCAGCUGUCAUCGGAGAGAACUGGAUGUUUCCUGGAUUUGGAUGGUUAUUCCUGUGCUCGAGAGAAUUGGGAAAUACUUAGGGCUGGUCUUCAGAAGGAAGAAAACACUGCAAAUCACCCAACGAAAGUGCUCUGGCAGUGCUACUGGGUCCUCUCUUGCUUCAUUAUGUCCCUAUACAAUUGUCCCCUUUGGCAGAGAGCAUGGCAUAUCCUUAUACACAAAAUUAAGAGUGUAGUGAAACCAUAUUGUGGAAUGCUGUUUGAAAAUUAUGACAUUGACAGUUGGUCUAUAUGAAACCCUGAGAGUAUUGCUCGAGGCUGGAAAUAUUCUCAGAUAGUCUCAGGACAAGCUCAUAUCCUCCCAAAGACCGUAACCCACCAUAGCAAGGUAAUCCCUUCAAUAAGUCCCACGUGACAGGUUUUAUGUGAUCAUUGCCGACAGUCAUUGUGAAUUCUCAAUACAAAUCUUUUAGUGCAACAUUUUCAUUAGGGGGAAUUUCAGUUUCCAGAAUUACAGUGUUAUGCCUCAAGUCAGGCAAAAUUCUCGCACCAAAUUACUAUAGGCUGUUCUUUUUCUUGAGGAGCUAUUCCAAAAAAACAACAUUUCUUCAGGGAAUGUAACAAUAAGAAAUAAGGGAUGGAAUAAAGAUUAUCAU
rnacentral:lncRNA from 1 species